CAUCCGCGGGCGCAUCACAUGACCCCCCAAGAGGAGGCCAGCUGAGCCUCAUCUGAAGAGAGACCUGACCUGUGAAGUGGAUUGACCUGAUAUACACUGGCCUGACCAUCCUCAAAAACUACAUCAUGUCUUUAUCUUUUGUCCUGAGCCAAAACAAACUAUUCAACAGAUAUUCCUCCUAACAGAGAUUCAGCUGGCUAGGCCACAAGAAGAACCUCCUAGUUGAGUGAUUCUCAGGUGGCACCUCACUUUGUCUCCACACACUAGUCAUCCAUCUAAAGACACUAGCAUGGAGUUACCAAGUUCUGCUUAUGACCAUGGUGGCCCAGAUGCUGCUGGAGUUAUCCGCAGAAAUGGCAAGGAUCACAACAAAAUAUUGGAAAGUCAAAACAGAGGCGGAGAUUCUGCAUCCUUGUUGGACCACCAUAUCGGAGUCUUUCAAAGCUGCUGCACCCCUUCAGCAGACCUUGCUUGCAAUCAGUGCUCUGGGCAGAAUGCCAGGCAAGAGCUGCCGGUACAACUAAGAUAAAUUGAGUUUGAACUAAAAAAUGUUCAUAAAUGUUGGUGUACCACAAAAUUAACACAUCAUGAGAAAACUCUGAAGUU
rnacentral:lncRNA from 1 species